CCUAAUUUGCACAUUUUAAGUUCUCUCUCAAGUUUAGACAUAACUGUUAUAAUUUAAAGCUUGCUCUAGAUCUAAACUUGUGGGAUGAAAACUUGAUCUGAAAUCUAAGUUGUUAACGGAUAUGAUAUGGGAAGGUUGAGCUGCUGUUUAUCUGUUUCUAGAGAUGCUAGAAUUCUGGAGAAUUUUAUCUUUGAAAAUCUUUAAAAUGUUGCAUGAUGAGUUCCUGUAUGAUGAGAGUUUAAAUUCCUACCACAGCCAUAUAUACAUGCUUGCUAGACUUCGAGCC
rnacentral:lncRNA from 1 species